rnacentral:rRNA from 1 species
UACAGAGGUGGCAAGCGUUGUUCGGAAUUACUGGGCGUAAAGGCGCGUAGGCGGCCAUCUAAGUCAGACGUGAAAUCCCCCGGCUUAACCUGGGAACUGCGUCUGAUACUGGAAGGCUUGAGUAUGGGAGAGGGAUGUAGAAUUCCAGGUGUAGCGGUGAAAUGCGUAGAUAUCUGGAGGAAUACCGGUGGCGAAGGCGGGUCUCUGGGCCGAUACUGACGCUGAGGAGCGAAAGCGUGGGGAGCGAACAGG